rnacentral:rRNA from 1 species
AACGAACGCUGGCGGCAUGCCUAACACAUGCAAGUCGAACGAAACCUUCGGGUCUAGUGGCGCACGGGUUCGUAACGCCUGGGAACCAGCACUUAGGUUCGGAAUAACUCCCCGAAGGGUGUGCUAAUACCGGAUAAUGUCUUCGGACCAAAGAUCUCUCGCUUUUGGAUGGGCCCGCGUUGGAUUAGCUAGUUGGUAGGGUAAAAGCCUACCAAGGCGACGUUCCAGAGCUGGUUUGAGAGGAUGAUCAGCCACACUGGAACUGAGACACGGCCCAGACUCCUACGGGGCGGAGCAGUGGGGAAUAUUAGACGAUGGGGGAAAGUCUGAUCAAGCAACGCCGCGUGAGAGAUGAAGGGCUUAGGGUUGUAAUGCUCUUUUACACGGGAUGAUAAUGACGGUACCGGGAGAAUAAGCUCCGGCUAACUCCGUG